UCCGUGCAGUCAGCAGCGCGUGCAGAUCAGAUUCUGCAGAGAUGGCGGGACGGGACCGAGUCGUUCACCUGCUCACACAGCUCGCGAGCGCGGCGUGCAGAUGUCCUGCUCACUCCAACUCCUUCCACCAAGGUGUCGGAGCUGCAACCUGCAGCGUCAGGAAGACUGACUACGCCUUCGAGAUGGCGAGUUCCAACAUCAGAUACGGAGACGGAGUCACCAAGGAGAUCAGCAUGGACCUGCAGAACCUCGGGGCGAGGAACGUCUGUCUGAUGACGGAUAGGAACCUGUCCCGCCUGCCGCCGGUGGCGUCCGUCCUGGAGUCUCUGUCCCGGAGCGGAGUCACGUACAAAGUGUACGACAACGUCCGCGUGGAGCCCACCGACGCCAGUUUUAAAGACGCCAUCCGGUUUGCUAAGAGCGAGGCGUUUGACGUGUUCGUGGCGGUGGGCGGGGGCUCCGUGAUGGACACGUGUAAAGCAGCCAAUCUGUACGCCAGCCACCCCGACGCCCACUUCCUGGACUUCGUCAACGCUCCCAUCGGGAGAGGGAAGCCCGUCACGGGCGCCCUGAAGCCGCUCAUCGCAGUUCCUACGACCGCCGGAACCGGCAGUGAGACCACCGGAGUCGCCAUCUUUGACUUUGAGCCUCUGAAAGCUAAAACAGGUAUCGCCAGCCGAGCCAUCCGACCCACGCUGGGCAUCGUGGACCCGCGGCACACACUGAGCAUGCCCGAGAGAGUCGCCGCCAACAGCGGCUUCGACGUGCUCUGUCAUGCUCUGGAGUCGUACACAGCUCUGCCGUACCACCAGCGGAGCCCCUGCCCCCCCGACCCCCUCCAGCGCCCGGCCUACCAGGGCAGCAACCCAAUCAGCGAUGUCUGGUCCCGCCACGCGCUCGCCGUGGUCGCCAAGUUCCUCAAACGAGCGGUGCGGGACCCUGAGGAUGUGGAGGCGCGGUCCAGCAUGCACCUGGCCAGCGUGUUCGCCGGCAUCGGCUUCGGAAACGCCGGCGUUCAUCUGUGUCACGGGAUGUCCUAUCCGAUCGCCGGUAACGUGAAGACGCACUCAGCGAAGGGCUACAGCGUGGAGCACCCUCUAGUGCCUCAUGGUCUCUCCGUGGUCCUGACGUCUCCGGCCGUCUUCACCUUCACCGCCCCGAUGUGUCCAGAGCGCCACCUGGAGGCCGCGCAGAUACUCGGUGCAGUAACAGACUCUGUGUGUGUGUGUUGUGUUGCGUUCAGGUGCAGACACCCGGCAGGUGAAGAGGGCGGAUGCGGGCGCCGUCCUGGCCGACGCGCUGCGUGACUUCCUGUUCUCCCUGCAGGUGGAGGACGGGCUGGCAGCGGUCGGCUACGGGACGGGGGACAUCCCGGCGCUGGUCAGAGGAACCGUCCCGCAGGAGCGAGUAACCAAACUGUCUCCCAGAGAACACACUGAAGAGGAUCUGAGCCGACUGUUCGAAGCCUCCAUGAAACUUUACUGAGCUCCCUCCGACCCUUAAACCCAAAUAUAUCAGCGUGUGAACUGAUCUCAGGUCUGUGUGAACCUGCAGUUCCUCUACCAGACACUACAUGGCGCUGUUUCUCAGCCUCUUCCUUUUAAUUUAAUAUUUAAACACAAAUCUAAAAUAAAAUCCACAUUAACA